CGUUCGUCCUUUUCGUCCCGGCCGGACCGGACCGGCCGACGACGGGUGAACGUAACACGUAUCGACGAACCCUGCCCCUGUCAGGGGGACAACCCGCCGAAAGGCGGGCUAAACCCGCGUACAUGCCACCGGGGCAUCCCGGAGGCAGGAAAGGCUUCGGCCGGACAGGGAUGGGCAUGCGGCGCAUUAGGCAGUAGGCGGGGUAACGGCCCACCUAACCGACGGUGCGUAGGGGUUCUGAGAGGAAGGUCCCCCACACUGGUACUGAGACACGGACCAGACUCCUACGGAAGGCAGCAG
rnacentral:rRNA from 1 species